CAAAGCAACAUCGCUAAAAAAAUAAGGGAUUUUUCUUAACAACGGUCCACCCUCGGCAGGCAAUGGCAAACCUCCGAGUGUAUUUCAAUCAUGAAAAACAGCUUCUCAUAAAAAUACAAUCGCCGUUCGGAGUCGGCGUAAAACUGUAAGUUCUUCCGAUUUAUG